CACAAUGAAACAUCGGUUAUCGUUUGAUUAUCAAAGUUAAGCAACUUUGAGCCUGUUCAAUACCUAGAUGGGUGACCGCUUGGGAAUACCAGGUGCUGUAAU